rnacentral:rRNA from 1 species
GUUUGAUGAAUUCAUAGUCAAACGAGGCGAACCGGGGGAACUGAAACAUCUCAGUACCCCGAGGAAAAGAAAUCAACCGAGAUUCCCCCAGUAGCGGCGAGCGAACGGGGAGCAGCCCAGAGUCAACAUCAAUAUUUACCGCAGGAGAAGGGUCUGGAAAGGCCAGCAAUAAAGGGUGAUAGCCCCGUAUCUGAAACGGUAAGUAUUGUGAACUCGAAGAGUAGGGCGGGACACGUGUUAUCCUGUCUGAAUAUGGGGGGACCAUCCUCCAAGGCUAAAUACUCCUGACUGACCGAUAGUGAACCAGUACCGUGAGGGAAAGGCGAAAAGAACCCCGGCGAGGGGAGUGAAAUAGAACCUGAAACCGUGUACGUACAAGCAGUGGGAGCACCCGAAAGGGUGUGACUGCGUACCUUUUGUAUAAUGGGUCAGCGACUUAUAUUCUGUAGCAAGGUUAACCGCAUAGGGGAGCCGUAGGGAAACCGAGUCUUAACUGGGCGUUAAGKUGCGGGGUAUAGACCCGAAACCCGGUGAUCUAGCCAUGGGCAGGUUGAAGGUUGGGUAACACUAACUGGAGGACC